CUUCAUAGCCCUACUGCUCUGAACCUAAGCAUUAAACCUAGAACAUAUUUUACCCUUUAUACUAUAUUCUCAUUUGUAACAUUCCAGAGAGUUUUUCUUAUUUUCCAGAAUUCUGGAGGUCCAUGAUUACUUAUGGUUUCUAAGGAAAUAAGGUUUAGAUGAUCACAAUCUGCCCACUCAUACAUUUCUCUUUCCUUCUCUCUUUUGAAAAAACAGAAUAUUUUUAUUCACAUUUGACUGGAUGAUGAAGAUAUCAAAGAUAAAACACUUCUUUGGGUAAAUGAAAAAGAACCAAGCUGAUUCUGCCAAAGGAAUCCAGCCACUGUGUGGCCAGAGAUGGGAGCCAGGUGGCCAGUCAGCAUGUGUGUAUUGACACUGCAACCAACACCUUGCUAGGUUUUGCCCUUGUGCUGCCACUCACCCAUCUGGUUAGGUAAAAUUCCCUUCACAAAGCUGGGACAUUAGAAAUGACCCACUAAAAACCUGCUUCUCUUUUUGGAGAGUUGUGUGGAUGGAUCCCAGGCUCCGGAAGCACACUUCUGUGCAAGGUAAAACAGAUCCCAGCAAAGCCAGAGUCACACAAGUGAUGAGCCCUCAGGAUUACCAAAACAGAGGCUGAUAUCCAUAAUUAUCUCAUAUCCAGCAUUAUUGAGGUCCUGCACCAAAUACUCACCCAGAGCACAUGCAGGGGCGUGGCUCCAGUUCUCUGUUUCUCGGCCGGAAUUCAUCCUGGCGUGCUCAGCAAGGCACUGCUCAGACUGGACUGCAAGAUAAAGAUGCAUGCUGAGUGCUUUCUGCAAUUCAUGCACCAUCAAUGCCUAAGGAGAGCACAACCUUGGAUAACCAGAACCAACUGGUUUUGAACCAAGUUUCCUGGGGGAAGGAAUGUGCCCUGUUCUCUUCUGUAUGUCCUGAUACAUGUGUUCCAUAUUACUCCAAUGGAAGGUAACAAUGGCAGCAGUAUGAGGAGUAAAACAGGUCAGAAGUUGGAGCACCAAAUAAAAUAACAGCUAUUUUAUACA
rnacentral:lncRNA from 1 species